CUCAUCAUGCCUGCGUUAGGGUCUGUUGCCUUCUUCUAGGCUCCUUCACUCUCCUCCAAGUCACUUUCUUCACUUUCUAACACCUUUUACCUUGUCAUAGUCUCUUACUUUCAGCUGACCAUCUUUCCCUGCUGAGGUAUUAACUGAUAAUGUAAUAAGUGAUAAUAACGUAAGAUAUCACCUUUCCUAGGGGAAUCUGAGUUUUAACGGAGAACUUUAAAAUGAGGAGAUCGCUACUCAAAGAAAGGAAGCAUUAGUGGUGCAAUCACAGGUGACUUGGUACCACAUUCUGCGACCCAAGCAAAGGAAAGCAGUGCAGAGCUGAUCUCUGUCCUUAGCUCCCAAGAACCUCAAACCACGAGUUUCUCCUGGACACUGCAUGGGGCAAAAAGCCAUUUCUAUGGAUGGAAAGCAGAGAAUUCCCCACCCUUUCCUGAUGGAGAAUCACUACACAGAUGCACAUGGGGGGAAGCCCCAGAUGUGAAGGGACUUUAUCCUGAUUGCUGCAGUUUCCCCAGCUCCUGGAAGGAUCUCGAGCAUCACAGGGGCUCUUGUUUGUCCUUUGUCCUGGAAGGUGUGGCUGGGACUGUGAAUCUGAAUUAAUCUUGCUCCAUGAUGAAAAAGUCAAGGCACAACAUCUGUGGGCACGUUUUAUUUACAGAGAAGUAGAAGUAGUGGGGCUGUGUCUUGGACAGUCUAUUCUAGUCUUCUUUAGUCAACAUGGGCUGGUGUUUUCCAGGGAGGACUCGGAAAGCUGCCCUUAGCAGAGGAGAUACAAGGCUCACGUUUCUAUAGGGUGAACGGAAGGAAAACAAUAUCAAGCUAUCAAUGGCUGUGUAACUAUAAGACUGUGCUCAGAGGAACAGGCUAGGGCAGUGUUGGUCCUAGGAUAGGUUUCAAAGAAGCAGGUACUUUGGCAAGCGAGAGGGGAAAUUGUCUCUUCUGGGGAUGGAAGUGAAACAGAUAGGGUAGUGGCUUUGGAGUGAAACAGAUCAUCAUCUCGUCCCCCCCACUGCUUCGCAUUUCUACAUUAGGAUCCAGAGUCCUUUCCAUUGGUUACGCCUCCAGCCUCAUCCUCCGUCCUGCUCCCUCUUGCUCACUGUUUCAGCCCCACCAUCUCUGUGCUGUUGUUGCUCCAACACGCCGCACCCACUACCACCUCAUGGCCUUUGCUCUCGCUUGGAAGGCUCUUUCCCCAGAGACCUGAGUGGCUUUUUCACUCACUUCCUUCAGGCUCUGCUCAGUCAUCACCUUCCCACAGAAGCCUUCCCUGGGCACCUCACCCGAAAUCGCACCCCUUGUUCUGUCACUCUCAGUCUGCUUUAUUUUUCUUCAUGAUAAUCCGCACUCCCUGCCUGUACAUCUAUAUCUAUCUCUCUAUACAAAUCCAUGCAUAUUUGUCUAUUUUCUAUUAGAAUGUGAGCUCCCUGCUAUAUUCCCAGGUCCUAGAACAGUGCCUGGCUCAUAGCAGGCUCUUAUCAAAUGUUUGUGGACCAAAGGACUAACGUAAACAUAACUGGAAUCCAGGCCUGGCUAUUUAUGGCUUGUGUUAUCUUGGGCAAAUUCCUUAACCUCCUUAACCUGACCUUUGUUAUCUGUAACCCAUGCUGAUUACACCUAUCUCAGUAGAUUGUGGUAAGGAUAUGGCACAGACAAGCCCCCAGUACGGUGCCUGACACAUGGCAAAUGACGGCUAUGAUUUUUGUGUGUGUGUGUGUGUGUGAGGAAGCUUGGCCAUGAGUUAACAUCCAUUGCCAAUCUUCCUCUUUUUGCUGAGGAACUUUGGCCCUGAGCUAACAUCUGUGUCCAUCUUCCUCUACUUUGUAUAUGGGGCACCACCACAGCAUGGCUUGAUGAGUGGUAUGUAGGUCUGCGCCGCGAAUCCGAACCUGCAAACCCUGGGCCGCUGAAGGGAAGCGCGUGAACUUAAACACUACGCCACUGGGCUGGCCCCCAAUGAUGGCUAUGAUUUUCAGCUUGGUUUAGGACUUUAAAUAAUCUGUGCUUGUUAUCUACAGCUCUGAAGGGUUUUCUAGCCUAAAUUCUGUUCGGUGACUUUCUUGAGCCAGGAGUGCAGGGUGGUGGCGGAUCUCCUAUUUACAAGUAUGAUGGAAAUGCCAGUUUUAGUAAGAUGCUCAAAGGACAAAAAAAUCACAAGCUUCAGUUUUUCUUAAAAAUAACACACCAUCUUUUUCCCAGGGGAAGGGGGACAUUUUGACCUUCUUCCUUAUUGUUUCAGUUUAUGGGAAGAGCAUGUGGGUGAGUGUGCUUGUGUGCGCGUCUCUUGCAAGCUCAUGUCUAAUCGACCUCUAGGGAGUGCUGGCUCUAUGAUACACUUUGUCCUGGAAGAAAUGCCCCUAGAACAUGUAUUUAUUUCUGUUUUAUUUGAUUGUUGGUUGUGUUGGAGGAUGGCGACAGUUGGGAAAUAUAAUAGAAAGAAAUCUAAGAAUAGAAAGAACUAGAUCAAUCUUAGUGCACUUUUUCUUUUUUUCUUUUUAGAGACAGACAAUACUUGAAAUUGUGGUUGCGAAGACCAGGUUUAUUUGUCUAUAUAAAAAAAGAGACUCAUGAAGAAAACCUAAUGGAUAAGUAAGGCAAAAUUUAUGGCCCCAAAUAUACUAGGAUGUGACAGAAAAGACUAAUAUUUUGUUUCCUGAAAAAUGUUUUCUAUCAUGCAGUGUUGCAGAGUUUGUGUUUGUUUAUUUGAGAGUUUAUAUCUUGGGACAUUAGUCACAAGAGUUGCUACUUUCUUUUAACAUGAAAGAUAAAAAGAAAAUCUUGGAGAUAUAGUCCUGGGAAAAACAAGAUAUAGAGGGGCAGGCUUGUUGUGGAAAACAUUGCUUUAUAAAUAAUUGAUCUUCAAAAUUUUUUGAAACUAGAGAAAUAUCAUAUAUGGAGUUUCAUGCUUUAUGAAACACCAGUGAGAAUAUUAUUUACUAAAAGGGUUUGAGCAUAAAAGUAUAAUUUUUUC